rnacentral:rRNA from 1 species
AGCCUGAUGCAGCCAUGCCGCGUGUGUGAAGAAGGCCUUCGGGUUGUAAAGCACUUCAGCGAGGAGGAAAGGUUACUGGCUAAUAUCCAGUAGCUGUGACGUUACUCGCAGAAGAAGCACCGGCUAACUUCGUGCCAGCAGCCGCGGUAAUACGAGGGGUGCAAGCGUUAAUCGGAAUUACUGGGCGUAAAGCGUACGCAGGCGGUUUGUUAAGCGAGAUGUGAAAGCCCCGGGCUCAACCUGGGAACUGCAUUUCGAACUGGCAAACUAGAGUCUUGUAGAGGGGGGUAGAAUUUCAGGUGUAGCGGUGAAAUGCGUAGAGAUCUGAAGGAAUACCGGUGGCGAAGGCGGCCCCCUGGACAAAGACUGACGCUCAGGUACGAAAGCGUGGGGAGCAAACAGGAUUAGAUACCCUGGUAGUCCACGCCGUAAACGAUGUCUACUCGGAAUUUGGUGUCUUGAACACUGGGUUCUCAAGCUAACGCAUUAAGUAGACCGCCUGGC